UUAAGCGACUAAGCGUACACGGUGGAUGCCCUGGCAGUCAGAGGCGAUGAAGGACGUGCUAAUCUGCGAAAAGCGUCGGUAAGGUGAUAUGAACCGUUAUAGCCGGCGAUGUCCGAAUGGGGAAACCCAGUGCAAUUCGUUGCACUAUCGUUAACUGAAUACAUAGGUUAACGAGGCGAACCGGGGGAACUGAAACAUCUAAGUACCCCGAGGAAAAGAAAUCAACCGAGAUUCCCCCAGUAGCGGCGAGCGAACGGGGAGCAGCCCGGAGUCUGAAUCAGCUUGUGUGUUAGUGGAAGCGUCUGGAAAGUCGCAGGGUACAGGGUGAUACUCCCGUACACUAAAACACACAGGUUGUGAACUCGAAGAGUAGGGCGGGACACGUGGUAUCCUGUCUGAAUAUGGGGGGACCAUCCUCCAAGGCUAAAUACUCCUGACUGACCGAUAGUGAACCAGUACCGUGAGGGAAAGGCGAAAAGAACCCCGGCGAGGGGAGUGAAAAAGAACCUGAAACCGUGUACGUACAAGCAGUAGGAGCCCACUAGUUGGGUGACUGCGUACCUUUUGUAUAAUGGGUCAGCGACUUAUAUUCUGUAGCAAGGUUAACCGUAUAGGGGAGCCGCAGGGAAACCGAGUCUUAACUGGGCGUUAAGUUGCAGGGUAUAGACCCGAAACCCGGUGAUCUAGCCAUGGGCAGGUUGAAGGUUGGGUAACACUAACUGGAGGACCGAACCGACUAAUGUUGAAAAUUAGCGGAUGACUUGUGGCUGGGGGUGAAAGGCCAAUCAAACCGGGAGAUAGCUGGUUCUCCCCGAAAGCUAUUUAGGUAGCGCCUCGUGAACUCAUCUUCGGGGGUAGAGCACUGUUUCGGCUAGGGGGUCAUCCCGACUUACCAACCCGAUGCAAACUACGAAUACCGAAGAAUGUUAUCACGGGAGACACACGGCGGGUGCUAACGUCCGUCGUGAAGAGGGAAACAACCCAGACCGCCAGCUAAGGUCCCAAAGUCAUGGUUAAGUGGGAAACGAUGUGGGAAGGCCCAGACAGCCAGGAUGUUGGCUUAGAAGCAGCCAUCAUUUAAAGAAAGCGUAAUAGCUCACUGGUCGAGUCGGCCUGCGCGGAAGAUGUAACGGGGCUAAACCAUGCACCGAAGCUGCGGCAGCGACGCUUAUGCGUUGUUGGGUAGGGGAGCGUUCUGUAAGCCGUUGAAGGUGGCCUGUGAGGGUUGCUGGAGGUAUCAGAAGUGCGAAUGCUGACAUAAGUAACGAUAAUGCGGGUGAAAAACCCGCACGCCGGAAGACCAAGGGUUCCUGUCCAACGUUAAUCGGGGCAGGGUGAGUCGACCCCUAAGGCGAGGCCGAAAGGCGUAGUCGAUGGGAAACAGGUUAAUAUUCCUGUACUCGGUGUUACUGCGAAGGGGGGACGGAGAAGGCUAUGUUGGCCGGGCGACGGUUGUCCCGGUUUAAGCAUGUAGGCGGAUGUUCCAGGUAAAUCCGGAACGUUAUUAACGCUGAGGUGUGAUGACGAGGCACUACGGUGCUGAAGUGACAAAUGCCCUGCUUCCAGGAAAAGCCUCUAAGCAUCAGGUAACAUCAAAUCGUACCCCAAACCGACACAGGUGGUCAGGUAGAGAAUACCAAGGCGCUUGAGAGAACUCGGGUGAAGGAACUAGGCAAAAUGGUGCCGUAACUUCGGGAGAAGGCACGCUGAUGGUAAGUGAAGUGACUUGCUCAUGGAGCUGAAAUCAGUCGAAGAUACCAGCUGGCUGCAACUGUUUAUUAAAAACACAGCACUGUGCAAACACGAAAGUGGACGUAUACGGUGUGACGCCUGCCCGGUGCCGGAAGGUUAAUUGAUGGGGUUAUCCGUAAGGAGAAGCUCUUGAUCGAAGCCCCGGUAAACGGCGGCCGUAACUAUAACGGUCCUAAGGUAGCGAAAUUCCUUGUCGGGUAAGUUCCGACCUGCACGAAUGGCGUAAUGAUGGCCAGGCUGUCUCCACCCGAGACUCAGUGAAAUUGAACUCGCUGUGAAGAUGCAGUGUACCCGCGGCAAGACGGAAAGACCCCGUGAACCUUUACUAUAGCUUGACACUGAACACUGGUCCUUGAUGUGUAGGAUAGGUGGGAGGCUUUGAAGUGUGGACGCCAGUCUGCAUGGAGCCAUCCUUGAAAUACCACCCUUUAAUGGCUGGUGUUCUAACGUGGGCCCGUAAUCCGGGUUGCGGACAGUGUCUGGUGGGUAGUUUGACUGGGGCGGUCUCCUCCUAAAGAGUAACGGAGGAGCACGAAGGUCAGCUAAUCCUGGUCGGACAUCAGGAGGUUAGUGCAAUGGCAUAAGCUGGCUUGACUGCGAGCGUGACGGCGCGAGCAGGUGCGAAAGCAGGUCAUAGUGAUCCGGUGGUUCUGAAUGGAAGGGCCAUCGCUCAACGGAUAAAAGGUACUCCGGGGAUAACAGGCUGAUACCGCCCAAGAGUUCAUAUCGACGGCGGUGUUUGGCACCUCGAUGUCGGCUCAUCACAUCCUGGGGCUGAAGUAGGUCCCAAGGGUAUGGCUGUUCGCCAUUUAAAGUGGUACGCGAGCUGGGUUUAGAACGUCGUGAGACAGUUCGGUCCCUAUCUGCCGUGGGCGCUGGAGAAUUGAGGGGGGCUGCUCCUAGUACGAGAGGACCGGAGUGGACGCAUCACUGGUGUUCGGGUUGUCAUGCCAAUGGCAUUGCCCGGUAGCUAAAUGCGGAAGAGAUAAGUGCUGAAAGCAUCUAAGCACGAAACUUGCCCCGAGAUGAGUUCUCCCUGACUCCUUGAGAGUCCUGAAGGAACGUUGAAGACGACGACGUUGAUAGGCCGGGUGUGUAAGCGCAGCGAUGCGUUGAGCUAACCGGUACUAAUGAACCGUGAGGCUUAACCUU
rnacentral:rRNA from 2 species